AGUGAACGCUGGCGGCGUGCUUAACACAUGCAAGUCGAACGAGAACGGGUUAUAGCUUGCUAUAAUUGUCAGCUAAGUGGCGCACGGGUGAGUAAUGUAUAGGUAAUAUGCCUCUUACUAAGGGAUAACAAAUGGAAACGUUUGCUAAUACCUUAUACUCCUUAUUAACAGAAGUUAAUAAGGGAAAGAUUUAUUGGUAAGAGAUUAGCCUGUAUUGUAUCAGUUAGUUGGUGGGGUAAUGGCUUACCAAGACUAUGACACAUAACUGGUUUGAGAGGAUGAUCGGUCACACUGGAACUGAGACACGGUCCAGACACCUACGGGAGGCAGCAGUGGGGAAUAUUGCACAAUGGACGAAAGUCUGAUGCAGCAACGCCGCGUGGAGGAUGACACAUUUCGGUGCGUAAACUCCUUUUAUAUGAGAAGAUAAUGACGGUAUUAUAUGAAUAAGCACCGGCUAACUCCGUGCCAGCCGCCGCCGUAA
rnacentral:rRNA from 1 species